rnacentral:rRNA from 1 species
UACGAAGGGGGCUAGCGUUGCUCGGAAUCACUGGGCGUAAAGCGCACGUAGGCGGAUCUUUAAGUCAGGGGUGAAAUCCCAAGGCUCAACCUUGGAAGUGCCUUUGAUACUGGGGAUCUCGAGUCCGGAAGAGGUUGGUGGAACUGCGAGUGUAGAGGUGAAAUUCGUAGAUAUUCGCAAGAACACCAGUGGCGAAGGCGGCCAACUGGUCCGGUACUGACGCUGAGGUGCGAAAGCGUGGGGAGCAAACAGG